rnacentral:rRNA from 1 species
UACGGAGGGGGCUAGCGUUGUUCGGAAUUACUGGGCGUAAAGGGCGCGUAGGCGGCCCGCUAAGUCGAACGUGAAAUCCCCGAGCUCAACUCGGGAACUGCGUCCGAUACUGGUGGGCUUGAAUCCGGGAGAGGGAUGCGGAAUUCCAGGUGUAGCGGUGAAAUGCGUAGAUAUCUGGAGGAACACCGGUGGCGAAGGCGGCAUCCUGGGACCGGCAUUGACGCUGAGGCGCGAAAGCUAGGGGAGCAAACGGGG